UACGUAGGUGGCAAGCGUUGUCCGGAUUUACUGGGUGUAAAGGGCGUGCAGCCGGAGAGACAAGUCAGAUGUGAAAUCCACGGGCUCAACCCGUGAACUGCAUUUGAAACUGUUUCCCUUGAGUGUCGGAGAGGUAAUCGGAAUUCCUUGUGUAGCGGUGAAAUGCGUAGAUAUAAGGAAGAGCACCAGUGGCGAAGGCGGAUUACUGGACGAUAACUGACGGUGAGGCGCGAAAGCGUGGGUAGCAAACAGG
rnacentral:rRNA from 1 species